AGAGUUUGUUCCUGGCUCAGGACGAACGCUGGCGGCGUGCCUAAUACAUGCAAGUCGAGCGAACUGACGUAACAAGCUUGCUUCUCCAUGACGUUACCGGCGGUCGGGUGAGUAACACGUAGGUAUCCUGCCGUAUAGACUUGGAUAACUUCGAGAACCCGGGAGCUAAUACCGGAUAUACACUUAUGAUCACAUGUUGUUAAGUUGAAAGAUGGUUUCGCCUAUCACUAUAGGAUGGACCCGCGUCGCAUUAGCUAGUUGGUGAGGUAACGGCUCACCAAGGCGACGAUGCGUAGCUGACCUGAGAGGGUGAUCGGCCACACUGGGACUGAGACACGGUCCAGACUCCUACGGGAGGCAGCAGUAGGGAAUCUUCCACAAUGGACGAAAGCUCUGAUGGAGCCACGCCGCGUGAGUGAAGAAGGUAUUUCGGUUCGUAAAACUCUGUUGCAAGGGAAGAACAAGUAGUGUAGUAACUGGCGCUACCUUGACGGUACCUUGUUAGAAAGCCACGGCUAACUUCGUGCCAGCAGCCGCGGUAAUACGUAGGUGGCAAGCGUUGUCCGGAAUUAUUGGGCGUAAAGCGCGCGCAGGUGGUUUCUUAAGUCUGAUGUGAAAGCCCACGGCUCAACCGUGGAGGGUCAUUGGAAACUGGGAGACUUGAGUGCAGAAGAGGAUAGUGGAAUUUCAAGUGUAGCGGUGAAAUGCGUAGAGAUUUGGAGGAACACCAGUGGCGAAGGCGACUGUCUGGUCUGUAACUGACACUGAGGCGCGAAAGCGUGGGGAGCAAACAGGAUUAGAUACCCUGGUAGUCCACGCCGUAAACGAUGAG
rnacentral:rRNA from 1 species